rnacentral:rRNA from 1 species
GACGAACGCUGGCGGCGUGCUUAACACAUGCAAGUCGAACGAUGAAAGCUGGAGCUUGCUCCGGCUGGAUUAGUGGCGAACGGGUGAGUAACACGUGAGCAAUCUGCCCUUGACUCUGGGAUAACUCCGAGAAAUCGGUGCUAAUACCGGAUAUGACCCUAGGCGGCAUCGCUGGGGUGGAAAGUUUUUCGGUCAAGGAUGAGCUCGCGGCCUAUCAGCUUGUUGGUGAGGUAAUGGCUCACCAAGGCGACGACGGGUAGCCGGCCUGAGAGGGUGACCGGCCACACUGGGACUGAGACACGGCCCAGACUCCUACGGGAGGCAGCAGUGGGGAAUAUUGCACAAUGGGCGCAAGCCUGAUGCAGCAACGCCGCGUGGGGGAUGACGGCCUUCGGGUUGUAAACCUCUUUUAGCAGGGAAGAAGCGAAAGUGACGGUACCUGCAGAAAAAGCACCGGCUAACUACGUGCCAGCCGCCGCUGUAA